rnacentral:rRNA from 1 species
UUCCGGUUGAUCCUGCCGGACCCCACUGCUAUCGGGAUAGGACUAAGACAUGCUAGUCAAGCGCUUCUAGCUAAUAUGAAAGUGCGGCAUACAGCUCAGUAACACGUGGCUAACCUGCCCUUGGGACGGAGACACCCCCGGGAAACUGGGGUUAAUUUCCGAUAGGUGAAAAAUUCUGGAAUGAAUUUUCGCUCAAAAGAGGUUUAUGUUAUGCUCAUAUUCUUCGCCCAGGGAUGGGGCCGCGACCGAUCAGGUUGUUGGUGAGGUAAUGGCUCACCAAGCCUUUUACCGGUACGGGCCGUGAGAGCGGGAGCCCGGAGAUGGGCACUGAGACAAGGGCCCAGGCCCUACGGGGCGCAGCAGUCGCGAAAACUUUGCAAUACACGAAAGUGUGACAAGGCUAUCCCGAGUGCCAUCCGCUGAGGAAGGCUUUUACCCAGUAUAAAUAGCUGGGAGAAUAAGGAGAGGGCAAGACUGGUGUCAGCCGCCGCGGUAAUACCAGCUCUCCGAGUAGUGUGGAUGUUUAUUGGGCCUAAAGCAUCCGUAGCUUGCUAGGCAAGUCCCCUGUUAAAUCCACCGAUUCAAUCGAUGGUUUGCGGGGGAUACUGUUUGGCUAGGGGACGGGAGAGGUCGACGGUAUUUCCGGGGUAGGGGUGAAAUCCUAUAAUCCCGGGAGGACCACCAGUGGCGAAGGCUGUCGACUAGAACGCGCCCGACGGUGAGGGAUGAAAGCUGGGGGAGCGAACCGGAUUAGAUACCCGGGUAGUCCCAGCUGUAAACGAUGCAGGCUAGGUGUUUGGGCGGCCACGAGCCGCCCUAGUGCCGCAGGGAAGCUGUUAAGCCUGCCGCCUGGGGAGUACGGCCGCAAGGCUGAAACUUAAAGGAAUUGGCGGGGGAGCACCACAAGGGGUGAAGCUUGCGGUUUAAUUGGAUUCAACGCCGGA